ensembl:lncRNA
GAUAGUAAAAAGCUGUUCUGCUCGUUGAUUGCUCGCCAUAUGCCUGCUGUGUGCUCGGUAUUUUAUACACAUUAUCUGGAUUGAGUCUUGCAGCCCUGCUCAGAGGUGGGUCCUCGUGUCUUCAGAGCUCAGAGGCGGCGGUGGUGGAAACUCAGGGAGGCUGCCACCUCAGGGAGCUAACUGCCAAGUGGAGUCGCAACCUGACAUCUGGGGCAUGUGUCAAACCACAACAGAGCCCGUCUCCCCUUUCAUCAAGUGCGGAGGGGGGUGCUGCUGGAGCCCUUGGAGGGAGGGACAGCUCUCACUUCAAAGGCCUCCUCAUGGAGAACUCCAGCCACCACCUUCCAGGGGAAGAGCCCACUGCCCCAGACCUCUGGCCAGCCAAGGUCUCGUGGCCAGCAGUUCCAAGGCUCAGCGAUAAGGCUGCUGCAGAGGAGAUACCAAGGAAGGCCGUCCCGCCACACUGCGCAGGACGGGCCAGUGGCUGCAGUGCCUUCUUCUGGUGUCCGGAGUUUCCCAGCAGACGGAGCAGUCCAGGAGACACACUCAUUCCUCACUGCAGCCCUCCAGCACAGGGUUUCCUCUCCCCAUUCUGCACAGGAGCCUCAGAGGAGUCGUCAUGCUGACUGAUUGUAAAUGACCCGCUUUGCAGAGGUUGCACUUGCUGCCAGGGCUGACGUUCCCCAACCCCCACUCUCUCUGUUAACCCACACUGAAAGCUCCACAGCCAAGCCUUGUGGGUGGAAGCAGGGUUCCUUGAUGCCAGGUGGGAGGAGGUGGCCCUCUGGC